AGAAUCAACGCUGGCGGCGUGCCUAACACAUGCAAGUCGAACGAGAAAGGGGAGCAAUCCCUGAGUAAAGUGGCGACCGGGUGAGUAACACGUGACUAACCUACCCUCGAGUGUGGAAUAACAUCGGGAAACCGAUGCUAAUACCGCAUAACAUCGGCGCUUUUAAGAGAUGCCGAUCAAAGGAGCAAUCCGCUUGAGGAGGGGGUCGCGGCUGAUUAGCUAGUUGGCGGGGUAACGGCCCACCAAGGCGACGACGGGUA
rnacentral:rRNA from 1 species